UCACAGUUGAUAAUAGUUUUGUUCUUUUCCAAUCUUUUAACUCUAUUUAAUUUUCCUGUCUUCAACCGGAGCCAUCAAUAUGAUAUUUAGCGGAGAUAAUGGCUUGGAGAGAGAGAGCUCUCCUUCUCUACACUGUGGACUGAUACAUAAAGAUGGCGUCUCCGGCUCUCCAAACCCUCACUCCAUCCACUCGGAGCUCCAUGAACUCACCCUUGCCUUUAGCCCUGCAAUCCCACUUGGAGGAAUUUGCUGUGAAAAUGCAACUGUACAAACAUCAAACCAUGGAAGCAUGAGGCUAUCCGCUCCAGUAUUAGUUGUCAUCACAAGUCACGGGAACAACCUCGGUGUCCACAGCACCCUGUCUGAAUAAACCGUGAUAGAGCCACAUCAUGAGUCCCGCGUAGCCAGCAGAAGAAUGAUACAAAUCUGUACACACCGAGAUGGGAGUGAUUUCCAGAGUAUAUUGAAAUGAACAAAGACGUGAUGUGGCGCAUAUCUACUGAGCUAUCUGUUGCAUAAAAAUAAGAGAAGGAGAAAUAAUUUUUACUUUUUUUUGCAAAAUGAACUACUGGAAAACUAGUAUCUGAAAUGAAUAAAAACAGUGACCUUCCAGGUGUAGAUGGGAACAGUGUGAGAGACCAAGAUGGCGGUGCUACCUCCGAGGGUACUUUUUUUUAAUGUAGUUUUGACUUUUGAACCACACAACUGCUUUCAAUUUAAAAGCAAUAAAAUUAAAUCGAAAGGGUGGGGGGAAGGCAAACCUUAAAACUAAACAAACGAAUCUAACUGGGCAUCACAUUAAUAAUAAAAUCGUACAG